rnacentral:rRNA from 1 species
AUUGAACGCUGGCGGCAUGCUUUACACAUGCAAGUCGAACGGUAACAGGUCUUCGGAUGCUGACGAGUGGCGAACGGGUGAGUAAUGCAUCGGAACGUGCCCAGUCGUGGGGGAUAACGCAGCGAAAGCUGCGCUAAUACCGCAUACGAUCUAUGGAUGAAAGCGGGGGACCGUAAGGCCUCGCGCGAUUGGAGCGGCCGAUGUCAGAUUAGGUAGUUGGUGGGGUAAAGGCCCACCAAGCCAACGAUCUGUAGCUGGUCUGAGAGGACGACCAGCCACACUGGGACGGAGACACGGCCCAGACUCCUACGGGAGGCAGCAGUGGGGAAUUUUGGACAAUGGGCGCAAGCCUGAUCCAGCAAUGCCGCGUGCAGGAAGAAGGCCUUCGGGUUGUAAACUGCUUUUGUACGGAACGAAACGGCUCUCUCUAAUACAGAGGGCUAAUGACGGUACCGUAAGAAUAAGCACCGGCUAACUACGUGCCAGCAGCCGCAGUAAGAC